GUGCGGCCUUCCCCAGCGGCUGUAGCAGGAGACCUGCGGCUGCAUCUCCCAGGGCCUUCCGGCGGGGCCGAGGCACACAAUACUGAGACCAGAAUAAAGCAGUGCAUUUACUACCUUGUGAAGAAUGUUCAGUGGGCUUGAUCCAGUCAGGUGAAGGUCUGAAGAGAAAAAAAGACCGUCCUCUUCCCAGAACAAGAGAAUCCUCCAACAGAUACCUUUGGACUGGACCUUGCACCAUCAGCUUUCCUGGGUUUCCAGCCUCCUGCCUCACACUCCAGCUUUUGGACUUGUUAGACUUAAUAAUAACAACACAAGCCAAUCCUUUUAAGGAAGUUUGUCUGGAGAAUCUUGACAAACACAAACAUCUACUGAGAGUUCCUGUCCAAGUUUUGCUCACACCCUAGCAAGAGGCUUCUGGCUUACCAGUUGGGAGUGUGAGGUUCUUUGCUUGUAAGACCUGAUCCACCAGCGGUACACCAGCUCUGGCCCAGGGCAAGACAGGGAAUUUCCCAAUCACUGAGUAGGCUGUAGCCACUCUCUCCAUUAGGCCUGACUUCACCAUGGGGAAGGGGAGACCCUUUCAAGGGUAUUCUUUCCUGGGGUACUCUCAGUCCUAGGACAUCAUAGCUCUCUUUCAUCCCUCUUAAAAGUUAAUACCAUUAUCAGUUAACAGUUUUUAU
rnacentral:lncRNA from 1 species